rnacentral:rRNA from 1 species
GACGAACGCUGGCGGCGUGCCUAAUACAUGCAAGUCGAACGCAGUGGGGACGGGUGAGUAACACGUGGGUAACCUCCCAUCACAGGGGAUAACACUUGGAAACAGGUGUUAUUCCGAUACCGCUGGAUUGACCCGCGGUUCAGUAGCUAGUUGGUGAGGUAACGGCUCACCAAGGCCACGAUGCAUAGCCGACCUGAGAGGGGGAUCGGCCACACUGGGACUGAGACACGGCCCAGACUCCUACGGGAGGCAGCAGUAGGGAAUCUUCCGCAAUGGGCGAAAGUCUGACCGAGCAACGCCGCGUGAGUGAAGAAGGUUUUCGGAUCGUAAAACUCUGUUGUUAGAGAAGCGGUAUCUAACCAGAAAGCCACGGCUAACUACGUGCCAGCAGCCGCGGUAAUAC